AGGACCUGGUUUAAAAAAGCCAAUGUUGGAAAUUCUUGCAUUUUAAUUUAAUUGGCCAAAAAAAGGUGUUUUCAUAAAGCCUUUCCACCUGUGUGCUAUUCAAAUACGAGUCUUUGUAUGUCCAGGCCCGCUGUAGAUAUAUAAAACUGUGUUUUACUUCCUUGUUACACAUUCUCCAGAUGUACAGUGACUUGAGAAACAGGACCUCGUAUUUUUUAAUAUCUAGACAUUAUAAGUUUCGAAUUAAUAAAUAGUGACGUUAUAUACAUAUUAUAUAGAGUGUGUGAGUAUGCUUGUAAUAAUGGAGUUCCGACCUGUGCGCCAAGUUGUAGCAACAGCUGCCACCCUAACGCUUGUGAUAUAUUCACUGGAACCUGCAACACUGGAUGUCCAGACGGUUAUCUUCCUCCAAACUGUACACUACCUCUGAACAUCACAGAAUCCGAUGUACCGGCUGGAGGAUGGGUCGGUGUAGGCAUCGCAUCAUGUGUCGUCCUGCUUCUAAUUGUCAUCGCGGUCGUAUUCCUCUACAGGAGAAAACGAAUAAAACACAAUCAACCCGCGAGGAAGUCAAAGGUCACGAAACAACCAGACAACGAUCCUUACGAUGACCCAGACGAAUCUGACCAUUACGACACGAUAGAGCCACCGAAGCCGUAUGAGAGAGAGUACGCCAAGUCCCCCUCAGAGCAGGACAAGGACAUCCCAGACAAGCAGUACGAUCACCUCAGUGGGGAAACAGCUCCGAAAAACGACUACGCCAAAGUAGAAAACCAUGACAACGCUAAAGAACUUGAAGACGACCAAAGUUCUAAGAAAAGUUAUACUGAGCUAGAGGCUGAAUCUGAAUUGAACCAAUAUUCUUAUUCAGACCAAUCCAAGAAUGAGAAAUUGGGAAGACUAUUUAUCGUAUCAGAUUAUAUUGAUGUAAUAUAAGCUUCAGUCCAUAACCAAUAAGUAUAGCUUUAAUCUAUGUAAGUUUCGAAAAUCAAUUUUUCAAUAAAUAAAUUUAUCGUAAAUAAUACAUUAUACGUUACAUUAGUAGUGGGCACCGGUAUUUCACAAAAUGUACUACAACAUCUAGAUCUAUACUUUGACUUUAUCUAUAGCCGUAUAAGAAUACGUUUAAUUGCAGGAACAUAAGUACAGAUUUUUAUAGCCUACAUAUACGUAUAGGCAAUUAUGAUUAAUUAUUUUAAUGAGCUAGUUACUUAUUUUAAUACUUUAGAUAUUAACAAAGUUGAGAAUUUUAGGGAAAGUACUUAUUGUAAUUUUUUUUUAACAUAGAAGUAAAUCCAGAAUGCAACAGUGCAAUGGCUGUUCAAAUGGUAUCAAGAAAUUUAGUAGUCAGCUCAACAAUGACAAUACUCUCUCGAGUUCUUACCUUUAGAUAUCUCCUCUCUUUUUGAGCAAAAUUUUAAGUCACGUGGUUAUGGCUUACUAGUACAUAGGCUAUAAGCCAAGUUACUGUAAGACUGACACUAGCAUAGGUCUAAACUUGUACGCUUCUUUCCCAGAGCUGAAAUAAAGCUUAUAUACAAGUCAAACUGAGUGAAUGAGAAAAAUAAAUGUCAACACAUUGAUAUCAUCAUAUGUCAUUUUGUGUUUCACUGAUUAUUACUUAAUGUGCCAUCUCUUGUACCUCACGAAUAGCUGUAGAAGUUAAUAAACUAUUAGGACUUUAUAUACAAACUAUUCUAAUGUAUUUUCUGGUUGUCUCACCUGUAGAAUUUCUUUAAAAAAAAAAUAACUUCAAUAAAUAGUACAUGUUAA